rnacentral:rRNA from 1 species
CCAAGCGGAAAGCACACAAAGAAACUUUGUUUAGUUUUGAGGGGACGUGACAAACGACGAAAUGCUUCGGGGAGCGGUAAGUACGCAGAGAUCCGGAGAUAUCCGAAUGGGGGAACCCGGCACCGUGAGGUGUCACCUUGAAUGUGAAUAGAUAGCAUUAAGGAGGAAGACGCAGUGAACUGAAACAUCUAAGUAGCUGCAGGAAGAGAAAGAAAGAUCGAUUUCCCAAGUAGCGGCGAGCGAACAGGAAAGAGCCCAAACCUAAUGGCUUGCCAUUAGGGGUAGAAGGACUGUAAAAAGCCGAAUGGAAGGAUAGCAGAAUUAUCUGGGAAGAUAAGCCAAAGAGGGUGAGAGCCCCGUAAGCGAAAUCCGGAAAGUAGGUGAGCAGGAUCCUGAGUAGGUCGGGACACGAGGAAUCCCGAUUGAAUCCGCGAGGACCAUCUCGCAAGGCUAAAUACUAACCAGUGACCGAUAGUGAACCAGUACCGUGAGGGAAAGGUGAAAAGAACCCCGGGAGGGGAGUGAAAGAGAACCUGAAACCGUGUGCCUACAAGUAGUCAGAGCACGUUAAAGUGUGAUGGCGUGCCUUUUGUAGAAUGAACCGGCGAGUUGCGUUGUGGUGCAAGGUUAAGUCAGAAAAGACGGAGCCGAAGCGAAAGCGAGUCUGAAGAGGGCGAGAUAGUAUCAUGACGCAGACCCGAAACCAAGUGACCUACCCAUGACCAGGUUGAAGGCGUGGUAAAACACGCUGGAGGACCGAACCCACGCAAGUUGAAAAUUGCGGGGAUGAGUUGUGGGUAGCGGUGAAAUUCCAAACGAACUUGGAGAUAGCUGGUUCUCUCCGAAAUAGCUUUAGGGCUAGCCUCGUGUGAAUGAUAAUGGAGGUAGAGCACUGUUUGGACUAGGGGCCCGUCAGGGGUUACUGAAUCCAGAUAAACUCCGAAUGCCAGAUAUCAAUGCACGGGAGUCAGACUGCGAGUGAUAAGAUCCGUAGUCGAAAGGGAAACAGCCCAGAUCACCGGUUAAGGUCCCAAAAUCUAUGCUAAGUGGAAAAGGAUGUGGAGUUGCACAGACAACUAGGAUGUUGGCUCAGAAGCAGCCACCAUUUAAAGAGUGCGUAAUAGCUCACUAGUCGAGUGACGCUGCGCCGAAAAUUUACCGGGGCUAAGCAUAGUACCGAAACCGUGGAUGCAGCGAAAGACUAAGGUUUCCUGGGGCAGGCUCGUCCGCCCAGGGUAAGUCGGGACCUAAGGUAAGGCCGAGAGGCGUAGCCGAUGGACAACAGGUAGAUAUUCCUGUACUAUUCGUAAUCGAUAAGAGCGAAGGAGGGACGCAGGAGGCUAAUGACGCAUGGAGAUGGAAUCAUGUGUAAGCGUUAAGGAAGGAUGCGAGUCAAAUGCUUGUAGCCAAUUUUGAGACGUGAUGCGGAGUGAAAUCAAAGUAGCGAAGGUCAUGAAGUCACACUGCCAAGAAAAGCUUCUAGCCAGAGAGCGAGUACCCGUACCGCAAACCGACACAGGUAGUCGAGGAGAGAAUCCUCAGGUGAGCGAGAGAACUCUCGUUAAGGAACUCGGCAAAAUAACCCCGUAACUUAGGGAGAAGGGGUGCUGAAGAGAAAUCAGCCGCAGUGAAGAGGCCCAAACAACUGUUUAUCAAAAACACAGGUAUCUGCAAAAUCGUAAGAUGACGUAUAGGUACUGACACCUGCCCGGUGCUGGAAGGUUAAGAGGAUAGCUUAGCGAAAGCGAAGGUUAGAAUUGAAGCCCCAGUAAACGGCGGCCGUAACUAUAACGGUCCUAAGGUAGCGAAAUUCCUUGUCGGGUAAGUUCCGACCUGCACGAAAGGUGUAAUGAUUUGGGCACUGUCUCAACGAGAGACUCGGUGAAAUUAUAAUACCCGUGAAGAUGCGGGUUACCCGCGACAGGACGGAAAGACCCCAUGGAGCUUUACUGUAGCUUGAUAUUGAGUAUUUGUUAAACAUGUACAGGAUAGGUAGGAGCCAGAGAAGAUAGGACGCCAGUUUUAUCAGAGGCAAUGUUGGGAUACUACCCUUGUUUGAUGGAUCCUCUAACUCGUCACACUAAGCGUGUGAGAGGACAGUGUCAGGUGGGCAGUUUGACUGGGGCGGUCGCCUCCUAAAGAGUAACGGAGGCGCCCAAAGGUUCCCUCAGAAUGGUUGGAAAUCAUUCGCAGAGUGUAAAGGUAGAAGGGAGCUUGACUGCGAGAGAGACAACUCGAGCAGGUACGAAAGUAGGGCUUAGUGAUCUGGUGGUACUGCAUGGAAAGGCCAUCACUCAACGGAUAAAAGCUACCCUGGGGAUAACAGGCUUAUCUCCCCCAAGAGUUCACAUCGACGGGGAGGUUUGGCACCUCGAUGUCGGCUCGUCGCAUC